CUGGUCGGUGUAUACGGAGCGCCGCACACCCCUGGCGUACCUUUUGGGCCGGCCCAUAUUCGGCGGUCGACUGCUUCUUCUUCGGCAUACUGUUUCUUCGGCAUCGUCCCGUCCUGCGCCGCCCCCCGAGUCCCCGUCUUGCGCCUCCGCGUCCGCCACUUCUUCGCUCGAGUUCCGUCGUCCGCCUCCGCCUCCGCCACUUCUUCGCUUAAGUACUGGUUUUCUUCCUCUCCACCGAUGGCGGCGGAAGAGAUUUCAGGAUCAAGGAAGAAGAGAAACAUAUGAUUGACAAAAUGAGAUCUUAUACUGUGUUGAACAAAAAGUCUUUUUGCCCAGUUCCUUUUUAAGUUGGAUUAUUUUUCUUUUAAGCUAAUUUGUGGGUGACCUACAUAAGUAUAUACCAUAUGCUUUUAGCCGGAAGGAACACUUUCUGUGGCAUUUGACGUUACGUUUUAUGUUUCCUGAUGAGGUCGGUGUAUACGGAGCGCCGCACACCCCCUCUUACCUUUUGGGCCGGCCCAUAUACGGUCGGCUGCUUUUUCUAGCUUUUCCCCGUUCGUCCUUCUUGAUUUCCGCCGCUGGCAGAGCUUCUUCUCGAUUCAUCCCCCGAGUUCGGUCUUCCGCCUCAGCCACUUCCUCGCUCGAGUUCUGUUUCUUUCGAGAUCCCGCACACGAACUACUGGAUUCGUUCCUCUCCAUCGAUGGCUGCGGAAGGGAAGAAGAAAUUCAUUCACGAUUUUUAUGAUCAAGGCGGAAACUGUUCAUGGCAAAAAUUCGUUCAUGCUUUUUUAAUGUUUGAAGCUAGGAGAAACAUUUAUACCAAGAAUAUGUUCAUCCUUUAUAAUGGUAUAAGAAUCCGUUCAUUUCUUGGUUAUGUUCAAUGAAGGAAACCGUGCCAACAAUCUGUUCACGCUUUUAUUUAUGUUCAAGGUAGAAACCGUUCACGCCAAGAAUCCAUCCAGGCUUGUAUUUAUGUUCAAGGUAGAAAACCGUUCAUGCAAAUAAUCUGUUCAUGAUUUUAUUUAUGUUGGUACAAACCUUUAUGCCAAGAAUCCGUUCACGCUUUAUUAAUGUUCAAGCUAGGAAAACCGUUCAUGCCAAGAAUCUGUUCAUGCUUUAUUUAUGUUCAAAGAGGGAAACCGUUCAUGAUUUUUAUUAGUGUUAAACAAAGGAAAGAGUUCAUGACAGGAAUUCUUCAUGAUUUUUUAUGUUCAAGGUAAAACCGUUCAUGCCAAGAAUCUCUUCAGGCUUGUAUUUAUGUUCAAGGUAGAAAACCGUUCAUGCCAAGAAUCCAUUCAUGAUUUUUUUUUAUGAUCAACAAAGGAUUAAGUUCAUGACAAGAAUUCAUUCAUGCUUUCUUAUGUUCAAGGGACAACACCAACAUGGAAAGGAGAAUCAGAGAAAUUGGCAUGAAAAAGCAGAGCUUUGCCAUUUUUAUUUCAGAGAACACACCAGUGGAUGAAAGAUGUUUUGAGUGUACUGAACAAUAGUCUUUUGUAUCUGUCACAACUCACAACAUACUUGCCUGAAUAUGAAAACAUAGUAACAGUGUGCCCUUCUGGUUUAACUGAAUAUGUAACAGUGGAUCUCUGUACUUCAAUGAGCUUUCCAGAGAAGAAUGGAGAUGAUCAUUUGGUCAGGUUACAAGCACUGCUAUGUUUUUUUUGCGAGAGGUUCUCACCAUUCGAGUUAUCUUUUCAUGUAUAUCAGAUGAACAGAUUUUGACAUCACGAGACAGUUUUCCUUUGUAAUAAACAUAUUUUCCAUAUAUUUUUGACUUAUGUA